rnacentral:rRNA from 1 species
AUUGAACGCUGGCGGCAGGCCUAACACAUGCAAGUCGAGCGGAUGAAGGGAGCUUGCUCCUGGAUUCAGCGGCGGACGGGUGAGUAAUGCCUAGGAAUCUGCCUGGUAGUGGGGGAUAACGUCCGGAAACGGGCGCUAAUACCGCAUACGUCCUGAGGGAGAAAGUGGGGGAUCUUCGGACCUCACGCUAUCAGAUGAGCCUAGGUGGGAUUAGCUAGUUGUUGGGGUAAAGGCCUACCAAGGCGACGAUCCGUAACUGGUCUGAGAGGAUGAUCAGUCACACUGGAACUGAGACACGGUACAGACUCCUACGGGAGGCAGCAGUGGGGAAUAUUGGACAAUGGGCGAAAGCCUGAUCCAGCCAUGCCGCGUGUGUGAAGAAGGUCUUCGGAUUGUAAAGCACUUUAAGUUGGGAGGAAGGGCAGUAAGUUAAUACCUUGCUGUUUUGACGUUACCAACAGAAUAAGCACCGGCUAACUUCGUG